GCAAUAAUUGAGAGGGGCCCAGGCCUUCUUGGCUGGUAAUGAGGGCACUUUGGAUGGCCUACUUCGUAGGCAACCAGCUGCUCUCAUUUGUGCUAGGUAUAAUUUCGGCGUGCAUGCGGGUUCUGGCUCAAUCAACACUACUAAGCAAGAAGGCUGCGGCCCCAAUCUAAUAAUGUUCAGCGGCCGGGGGAAUCUGAGCAGAGCUGAGCAUCUGCCGCCGCAACAAUUUGUUCAUACUUUCAGAGAUGGACAAUUCACAAUUUCACCCGUUUCCCAUUCCGGCGGGUAAUCGAUUUCACUACACACCUCGAUUCCUGCAACAUUUCGUCGGCCUUUUUAGAAUAUCAGUGCACACUAGCUAAUGAACAUUUUCGAGUUUUUCUGUUUAGGUUGAUGUAUUGUUUGAUAAAGUAAUUGGCAUGUUUCAACAGUAUAUGGUGUAAUUUGCUUGAUCUAUCACUUUUAAGGCAUGUUAAAUUCUCGGCGAAGAAUGAUUGAUAAAUUGAUUCCAAAUUUUGGCGCCUAA